rnacentral:rRNA from 1 species
UACAGAGGGGGCAAGCGUUGUUCGGAAUUACUGGGCGUAAAGGGCGCGUAGGCGGCCCGCUAAGUCGAACGUGAAAUCCCCAGGCUCAACCUGGGAACUGCGUCCGAUACUGGCAGGCUUGAAUCCGGGAGAGGGAUGUGGAAUUCCAGGUGUGGCGGUGAAAUGCGUAGAUAUCUGGAGGAACACCGGUGGCGAAGGCGGCAUCCUGGACCGGCAUUGACGCUGAGGCGCGAAAGCUAGGGGAGCAAACGGG